GGGUCCAUAGCUCAGCUGGGAGAGCGCCUCGUUCGCAACGAGGAGGUCGGGGGUCCGAAUCCCCUUGGAUCCACCA
rnacentral:tRNA from 1 species